CGGCGGACGGGUGAGUAACACGUGGGUAACCUACCUAUAAGACUGGGACAACUUCGGGAAACCGGAGCUAAUACCGGAUAAGAUAUCGAACCGCAUGGUUCGAUAGUGAAAGAUGGUUUUGCUAUCACUUAUAGAUGGACCCGCGCCGUAUUAGCUAGUUGGUGAGGUAACGGCUCACCAAGGAAACGAUACGUAGCCGACCUGAGAGGGUGAUCGGCCACACUGGAGCUGAGACACGGUCAAGACUCCUACGGGAGGCAGCAGUC
rnacentral:rRNA from 1 species